GAAGGAGGGAGGGCUCCACCUGCGCCUCCAUCGCUGCUCCCUCCUCCCCUCCCUUCCUCUCCGCGAUUUCGCGCCGCCAUGGGGCUUUCACCUGAUGAAACCGCCAGCAUAGAGGAGGCCACCAAUGAUGCUACUGCUGCUGAACGAUUUGUCGGAGGUAUACUGCAAUGAGUCUGAUCCAUUUUUAGGAACACUUGCCUUUAAGUACCUUCCAAUUGGGACUCUCUACGAGAAUCUUCACGGUUUCAGAUGGAUCUCUUCCAGACUCAACCAGCUCGCUGCCAUGAUACUCCAUGUCCAGGUACAAUAAUGUAUGCUCCAAAUAUGCACACUCACUUGCAGGGCUGAAACUGUAGACACAAAGAAUGGGUAGUCAAGUUCAUGUGUUUUGUCUACUGUUACCAUCUGGACCUAAAUAUACUCCACUAGGAUCUCUUGCUAAUGAG